UUCCCUGCGGAGUGCGUGAUUGCUGAAAUUUUAGAACCAACAAGAUUAAAAAGGGAGUCGAUCUCUGGAUAUGGCGUGUAUGCUUAAAUUUAUUUAAGAAACCCAUGAGUAUCAAGGUAGACACCCACCUGUGAGAACAGGUCCUUAAAAUUUCUUCACAUAACGGCUAUGGCGGGGUUU
rnacentral:other from 1 species